ensembl:lncRNA
AGGAAACAUCUGUGCUGUGUCUGCUCUUUCUGAUCUCACUGCUGAGCUGCACAACAAACCAAGAGAGGUACACCACCAGACCUCCACCUGCAUCCACCUCUCCACCUGCAUCUACGCCUCCUCCUGGUUCCAGCUCCCACACUCUUUCUGCCUUUCUCUCUCCUGUCAUUCUUUCUGUGUUGUCAUUUUUUUGUUCGGUCUGUGUUGGGGUUCUACUGGUGUUACUGGUUCUGCUGCUGAGACGAUGUGUUCACAGGAAACCUGAAGAACGAGAAGAAGCUGGAGAAGAUGACAUUAUAUAUGACAAUGAAAUAACAUACAGCACUGUUAAAAUAUCAAAUGAUCAAAAAGAUCCAAUCAGGUGAUGCAGAGGUAAUUAUUUUUCUUUUCUUUUUUUUAGUGGUGAUUGUGUGUGUGAUGCUGGUGUUGUUGGGAUUCACCAAUCCUGUGUAAACUGUCAAUACACACAUCUUUAACUGACUACAAAUUUCUCAAACAAUGAAUAAAGAAACAAAUAAAU